rnacentral:rRNA from 1 species
AGAUGGAAUUAGUUGUGUAGGGGUAAAAUCCGUAGAGACAACUAGGAAUACCAAAAGCGAAGGCAAUCUUCUGGAACAUUACUGACGCUGAGGCGCGAAGGCGUGGGGAGCAAACAGGAUUAGAUACCCUGGUAGUCCACGCCCUAAACGAUGAAUGUUAGUCGUCGGGUAGCUAGUCUAUUCGGUGAUGCAGCUAACGCAUUAAACAUUCCGCCUGGGGAGUACGUUCGCAAGAUUAAAACUCAAAGGAAUAGACGGGGACCCGCACAAGUGGUGGAGCAUGUGGUUUAAUUCGAAGAUACGCGAAGAACCUUACCUAGCCUUGACAUAUUUAAGAACACUUUAGAGAUAGAGUGGUGCCUUCGGGAGCUUUUAUACAGGUGCUGCACGGCUGUCGUCAGCUCGUGUCGUGAGAUGUUGGGUUAAGUCCCGCAACGAGCGCAACCCUCGUCACUAGUUACUAACGGUUCGGCCGAGGACUCUAGUGAGACUGCCUUCGUAAGGAGGAGGAAGGUGAGGACGACGUCAAGUCAUCAUGGCCCUUACGGCUAGGGCAACACACGUGCUACAAUGGCCAGGACAAUGAGACGCGAUACCGCGAGGUGGAGCAAAUCUAUAAACCUGGUCUCAGUUCGGAUUGUAGUCUGCAACUCGACUACAUGAAGCUGGAAUCACUAGUAAUCGUAGAUCAGCUAUGCUACGGUGAAUACGUUCCCGGGUCUUGUACUCACCGCCCGUCACACCAUGGGAGUUGAUUUCACCCGAAGCGGGGAAGCUAAACUGGCUACCCUCCACGGUGGAAUCAGCGACUGGGGUGAAGUCGUAACAAGGUAACCGUA